rnacentral:rRNA from 1 species
GACGAACGCUGGCGGCGUGCUUAACACAUGCAAGUCGAACGGAAAGGCCCUGCUUUUGUGUGCUGCUCGAGUGGCGAACGGGUGAGUAACACGUGAGUAACCUUCCCUUGACUUUGGGAUAACUGCAGGAAACUGGGGCUAAUACCGGAUAGGAGCUCCUGCUGCAUGGUGUGGGUUGGAAAUUUUCGGCGGUUGGGGAUGGACUCGCGGCUUAUCCGCUUGUUGGUGGGGUAGUGGCUUACCAAGGCAUUGACGGGUAGCCGGCCUGAGAGGGUGACCGGCCCCAUUGGGACUGAGAUGCGGCCCAGACUCCUACGGGAGGAAGCAGUGGGGAAUAUUGCACAAUGGGCGGAAGCCUGAUGCAGCAACGCCGCGUGCGGGAUGACGGCCUUCGGGUUGUAAACCGCUUUCGCCUGUGACGAAGCGUGAGUGACGGUAAUGGAUAAAGAAGCACCGGCUAACUACGUG